rnacentral:lncRNA from 1 species
CUGUAAGGUUAAUAUUCUUGUCAAAGAUCGCCAAAGAAUUAGUAUAAGUGAAUGUCAAGUGGAUACUUAGAAGGCCUAGCUGUGCUUUGGGAAAAAUAGCCAAGGAACAGAAUAGUGAUUACCAGUCCAGACUUAGAAGAUAUCCUUUCUCUUUCUUCAAAGAUAAAGGAAACCCACAUUCAUUAUUUACUCUUCUUCCUGCUUCUGUGUUUCUUUCCUAGGUUGCAGCUAUGAAGGAAAUACCUAUAACAGCUCCUUCAAAUGGCAGAGCCCUACUGAGCCCUGUGUUCUGCGCCAGUGCCAGGAAGGCGUCAUCACAGAGUCUGAGGUGCGAUGUGUUGUUCAUUGUAAAGACCCUUCCAAGAAUCUGGGAACUUGCUGCCCCACAUGUCCAGGCUGUAUGUUUGAGGGUGUGCAGUACCGAGAAGGGGAGGAAUUUCAGCCAGAAGGAAACAAAUGUAUCAAGUGCUCAUGUAUCGUAAGUACCUCCGUGGAUGUCACCGGAGUGCUCCUUCUGGGUUAGCUGCUGCUGGAACUCAACAAGAGCAGCCCUGCCCGUACAGCCUCUCCCUCCUCUCUCUCUUGACAUGGCACCAAGAGACAAGCUUGUCACUCUAGAGCGGGGUUUCUCAACAUCGGCCCAGUUGACAUUCUGGGCUGGGCAAUUCUUGGUUGUGAGGGCUGUCCUGUGCUUUGUAGGCUGUGCAGGAGUAUCCCCGGGCUCUACCCACUAGAUUCCAGUGGUUGCACUGGAGUCAUUAGACGCCCCUCCCCCCAGUAGUAACA